rnacentral:rRNA from 1 species
GCUAAAAAUCUAGCCCCACAUCAAUUGAUACCCACACAAUUCCUCUCACCUCUAAAUCAAAACAUUUUUUUAGUCUAGUAAAGGAGAUUGAAAAACUUCUAGGGAGCAAUACAUGUAGUACCGCAAGGGAAAGAUGAAAUAAAAAUGAAACUACAUUAAGCACAAAAAAGUAGAGGUUUACUCUCGUACCUUUUGCAUCAUGGUUCAACUAGUCAAAUCAAGCAAAAUGACUUAAAGUUUGACACCCCGAAACUAAGCGAGCUACUUCAGGGCAGCUAAACGAGCAAACCCGUCUCUGUUGCAAAAGAGUGGGAAGACCCUUAAGUAGGGGUGAUAGACCUAACGAGCCUAGUGAUAGCUGGUUACUUAAGAAACGGAUUUUAGUCCAACCUAGAAUUAAGAUAAUACCAAUAAAUAGAAGCCUAAUUCUAGAGCCAUUCAAAUAAGGUACAGCCUAUUUGAAACAGGAUACAACCUCCACAAAUGGGUAAUUAAAUUUUAACAAAAAUCAAGUGGGCCUAAAAGCAGCCAUCUUUGGAAAAGCGUCAAAGCUUUAUUUUUUCCUCAAAAAAUUUCAAAAAUCAUUAAAAACCCUUAACUUCUAUUAAGUAUUUUCAUACCCCCUAUGAAACCUAUAAUGUUGAUACUAGUAACAAGAAGAAGCCCUUCUCUCAAAUGCAAGCGUACAUCAGUAAGGACCCUCCACUGAUAAUUAACGUCCAUGAACAAAAAGUAGCAACUUCACAAGAAAACCCUACUGCACUCAACGUUAACCUAACACAAGAGCAUUACGAGAAAGAUUAAAAGGAAAAGAAGGAACUCGGCAAAUAUUAACCUCGCCUGUUUACCAAAAACAUCGCCUCUUGCUAGCCAUAAGAGGUACAGCCUGCCCAGUGACUCUGUUUAACGGCCGCGGUAUCCUAACCGUGCGAAGGUAGCGUAAUCACUUGUUCUUUAAAUGAGGACUAGUAUGAAUGGCAUCACGAGGGUUAUACUGUCUCCUUUUCCCAAUCAGUGAAACUAAUCUCCCCGUGAAGAAGCGGGGAUAAAAAUAUAAGACGAGAAGACCCUAUGGAGCUUUAAACUAGAUUACAUCUGCUUAACACACAAAAAUUUCAGAAAAGUAAGAUUUAUCCAAGCACUAUGUUAAUUAGUUUUAGGUUGGGGUGACCGCGGAGUAAAACUCACCCUCCGCAUUGAACAAGAUUGUUUCUUUAGCUAAAAGCUACAACUUUAAGCACCAAUAAAUUGACAUUAUUGACCCAAUAUUUUGAUCAACGAACCAAGUUACCCUAGGGAUAACAGCGCAAUCCACUUCAAGAGCUCCUAUCGACAAGUGGGUUUACGACCUCGAUGUUGGAUCAGGGUAUCCCAGUGGUGCAGCCGCUACUAAAGGUUCGUUUGUUCAACGAUUAAAACCCU